CAUAAGUGCCACCCCCUCAACUUGCUGACAGCGACAUGAUGUGCGCUGCACAGUGCUGAAAUUAGGUGUUGGAGAGGGAGAUUACUGGCCCUGGCGCUCAGGUGAACGUAUAGGUGGGCGUUGGUGCGAGAGCGUGAGAGAGAAAGCAGAAGAAAGAGGGAGCAAGAGCUAUGCAUCCCCUACUGUCAGGGAGGGUGGCCGGCUGAAGAAGGUGCUGUGCAGAAAGCCAGAGAAGGAUAUGAGGAGGGUGCUGGCGCCUAGGGAACACCCUCCUGCUGCACCCUCCUGGAGACUGUGGGCGGCGGGUGAAUAGCCCUGGUGCAGUGACUGAACCCCUCCAUUCACAGGGAAAGUUUCUGCUCCUCAAACCCUGGACGAUGCCACCGGAGGACGCUAAACGCAAAGAUUCAGCAGCGGCUCAAGUGACAGCCUCCGCUGCGGAGGAGCCGAGAGCCAAGGGCCUCGAGACCCCCUCUACCCUGAAUGGACACUUGGUCAGUGUCACUCGCUUCCUCUCGGGUGUCCUGCAUUUUCUCAACAGAGCUUGACCCUGUAGAUAGAUGAACUCGGAAUCCGGAGAACUCGCCUGACCUUCUCCAGUCUUGCUGUCCCAUGACACCUACCCUUCACUGCAUCCACUGCUCUGGGUCCAUCCGGACGCCCGGGAGCCUCCGUUAGCAGCUCGGCACUCCCAAAGCAGCCGGAGGAGGGCCUUUCUGAGCAACCUGCUACACUGUCAGCAGCCACACUGAGGCUGUCCCCUUCCCACUGCUUCCCAAGGGCAGAGCCGAGGUGCCCGGCACCUCCCUCCGCUUUGGACUUCAUGUGGGUGUGUAUGUAAGUGAGACCGGGAGAGAGGGAGAAAAGGAGAGAGAGGAGGAGACAGAUGCAUUCAACCCUGCAGAAAACUCCCAGACGUGCAAGACAAAGCAUUUCAAGAAUAAAAUGGUCCAGAGUUCAAGUUAAAAAACACACCUCUUUGAGGUACUGAGACCAACCGUGUUAGCCUCCUAUCUGGGCUUCUGGGGUGUCGCAUCCUAGAGAAUGGAUUUUAAAUCCAGAUUCCCGUCAGAUUUGCUCAGAAAUUACCUCUUCUGGAAGAGCCGCAGCAAGUGGCCCAGCCAACUCACCAGCGCACCCAGAGUGCCCAUAACACACCACCCCCCCAUCACCACCACCACCUGUCCCCAGCUCAUGCGGAAGUAGCUGUCGGGGAGGGCAGGGGAAGAAGUUUAUUUUUUUAAUUGUGAAAAUUCUCUGCAUCCUGUUCUCUGGGAUUCUCUUGUUAUAACAAACCUUCCAUUUUAACGUGGUGGUUAUAUAAAAAUGAACACCUGGAAAUGCAAAA